CAGCAGCCGCGGUAAAACGUAGGGUGCAAGCGUUAAUCGGAAUUACUGGGCGUAAAGCGUGCGCAGGCGGUUUGUUAAGACAGAUGUGAAAUCCCCGGGCUCAACCUGGGAACUGCAUUUGUGACUGGCAAGCUAGAGUAUGGCAGAGGGGGGUGGAAUUCCGCGUGUAGCAGUGAAAUGCGUAGAUAUGCGGAGGAACACCGAUGGCGAAGGCAGCCCCCUGGGCCAAUACUGACGCUCAUGCACGAAAGCGUGGGGAGCAAACAGGAUUAGAUACCCCCGUAGUCCCUGUCUCUUAUAA
rnacentral:rRNA from 1 species